rnacentral:lncRNA from 1 species
GUUGCAUUUGGUGGCAGAGAUACCAGAAAGCUGUGAGUGGUGAGCCAUCAGGUUGCUCUUUCCUCGCCAAGGCUGAACACUGGGUCUUUGCUGGGUUACCUGUCAGGACUUUAAGAUGUGGGCUUUCUCCUGGCAGCCAGGUGGGCUGUGGGACUCCACGUAGCAGCUGGAGAAGCUUCUUCCACGUGUGGAAAUUUGAUCUGCUUCAGACUUCCCAGCCUCUGAAGAAGGAUGCUUUUCUGUAUUCCAAUCAGCAUCUGAUUUUUCCACCAGGCACAUGGUGUGUUUCCCGACAACCGCUUUGUCCCCAUUUGGAGUUCCUACUCCAGGCUACCUGUUCCAGAGGUGUGGGCAGGGAGCUCUGUUCACGUAGUCACUCAACAUCAUAGGCUUCAGCUUAGCUCACUCUUCUGUGACCAGCAGAACCAAAGGAGGAGUAUAUGGCUACUCACGCACAGGGCCUUCUACUUCUGCCUGGAUGUGACACCCACCAUUUUGGCUUACAUUUCUAACCUCAAAGAAGUAAAAGUACCACCGUAACAUGCAACCAAAAGGAUGAAAACUGGAAGAAUUUAACGAUUACUUUACAAAUGGUUCAAAAGUGGUUUUGAAGCAUAAAGUUAUGAUGAAAUUAAAGCAAACAUUAAAGCUCAUGUUAACUUCAUACAUGUACAUUGUUGUAAGAAUGAUAACAGUGCAUAUAUAGAAUAUGAUUCUGUUUGUACUCAAGCAAGUAAAUCUAUUAGUGUAACGAUGUUGCACAAUUAACCAAAAAGGAAAGUGUAUGCUCACAGAUAAAGAACUGAAAGUUGAAUUGUAUUCAGGCCAGUUUCUGAGCCUUCCAGAUCUGCUCAGCUCCACUCCAGCCCUGGGCCAUGGGAGUAGCCCGAAUGAUGGCUGUCAUUGUUCCCAUGGGUUUAAAGCCGAGCUCUGUAACCACUGCAUUUGCCACAUUUUCUAACAUUUCAAAUUAUCUUACCACCUAGAGAGUGAGAGGCGGGUUUCAGCAAGAGUUCUAGUGCACACUUGUGGUAUGAGAUGAGCAGCUCCAACCCUUCAGUGUGACCCAACAGGACUCCUGAAAGUGCCAGGUUCCCAGUAGCGACCCAAAGGGGCCAAUUAGCAAAAUGCAGAAGAGUGAAAAAGGAAAUAUCACGUGAAAUGAUCUUGGACCAAAGAAAGACAAAAGACUGGAAAAAGCACACUGAAUGCCUGCUUUCCCUUCCUCUCCUGAGAGUUUUGGGAUGGUGCUUGUCACGCGGCCCCUCUGCAGAUAUUUCACGAGACCAAGCAGCUGACUGCACAUCCUGAGAAGCUGGGACAGUUCAGUAACAUAGGACUUUCAGUUCACUUGCCCCCUUCACCACCUCACUCCCCGUCACCCUGGCUCUUGUUUCCCUGUGAAUGUACUGUGUACACGCCACGCAGCGUUGACAUGAAGCUUUGCCUCAGGAGAUAUUUGCUAAGAAACCUACGCUUAGAAAACUAGUACCAAGGAUGGUCAUGGAGAGAGGAACUUCAGGAGGAAAUUUGGAAUUGGAUUUCCAACCUGCCUGAAAGUAAUAAAGACCCAGUUGUUUGGGGGUGGGAAAUAGGG